rnacentral:rRNA from 1 species
GGGUUGUGAGGUUAAGCGACUAAGCGUACACGGUGGAUGCCCUGGCAGUCAGAGGCGAUGAAGGGCGUGCUAAUCUGCGAUAAGCGCCGGUAAGGUGAUAUGAACCGUUAUAACCGGCGAUACCCGAAUGGGGAAACCCAGUGUGACUCGUCACACUAUCAUUAACUGAAUCCAUAGGUUAAUGAGGCGAACCGGGGGAACUGAAACAUCUAAGUACCCCGAGGAAAAGAAAUCAACCGAGAUUCCCCCAGUAGCGGCGAGCGAACGGGGAGGAGCCCAGAGCCUGAAUCAGCAUGUGUGUUAGUGGAAGCGUCUGGAAAGGCGCGCGAUACAGGGUGACAGCCCCGUACACAAAAGCGCAUGUGCUGUGAGCUCGAUGAGUAGGGCGGGACACGUGGUAUCCUGUCUGAAUAUGGGGGGACCAUCCUCCAAGGCUAAAUACUCCUGACUGACCGAUAGUGAACCAGUACCGUGAGGGAAAGGCGAAAAGAACCCCGGCGAGGGGAGUGAAAAAGAACCUGAAACCGUGUACGUACAAGCAGUGGGAGCACCCUUUUGGGUGUGACUGCGUACCUUUUGUAUAAUGGGUCAGCGACUUAUAUUCUGUAGCAAGGUUAACCGAAUAGGGGAGCCGGAGGGAAACCGAGUCUUAAUUGGGCGUUAAGUUGCAGGGUAUAGACCCGAAACCCGGUGAUCUAGCCAUGGGCAGGUUGAAGGUUGGGUAACACUAACUGGAGGACCGAACCGACUAAUGUUGAAAAAUUAGCGGAUGACCUGUGGCUGGGGGUGAAAGGCCAAUCAAACCGGGAGAUAGCUGGUUCUCCCCGAAAGCUAUUUAGGUAGCGCCUCGUGAAUUCAUCUCCGGGGGUAGAGCACUGUUUCGGCUAGGGGGCCAUCCCGGCUUACCAACCCGAUGCAAACUGCGAAUACCGGAGAAUGUUAUCACGGGAGACACACGGCGGGUGCUAACGUCCGUCGUGAAGAGGGAAACAACCCAGACCGCCAGCUAAGGUCCCAAAGUCAUGGUUAAGUGGGAAACGAUGUGGGAAGGCCCAGACAGCCAGGAUGUUGGCUUAGAAGCAGCCAUCAUUUAAAGAAAGCGUAAUAGCUCACUGGUCGAGUCGGCCUGCGCGGAAGAUGUAACGGGGCUAAACCAUGCACCGAAGCUGCGGCAGCGACACUAUGUGUUGUUGGGUAGGGGAGCGUUCUGUAAGCCUGUGAAGGUGUGCUGUGAGGCAUGCUGGAGGUAUCAGAAGUGCGAAUGCUGACAUAAGUAACGAUAAAGCGGGUGAAAAGCCCGCUCGCCGGAAGACCAAGGGUUCCUGUCCAACGUUAAUCGGGGCAGGGUGAGUCGACCCCUAAGGCGAGGCCGAAAGGCGUAGUCGAUGGGAAACGGGUUAAUAUUCCCGUACUUGGUGUUACUGCGAAGGGGGGACGGAGAAGGCUAUGUUGGCCGGGCGACGGUUGUCCCGGUUUAAGCGUGUAGG